rnacentral:rRNA from 1 species
GAUGAACGCUGGCGGCGUGCCUAAUACAUGCAAGUCGAGCGAACGGACGAGAAGCUUGCUUUUCUGAUGUUAGCGGCGGACGGGUGAGUAACGCGUGGAUAACCUACCUAUAAGACUGGGAUAACUUCGGGAAACCGGAGCUAAUACCGGAUAAUAUUUUGAACCGCAUGGUUCAAAAGUGAAUGACGGUCUUGCUGUCACUUAUAGAUGGAUCCGCGCUGCAUUAGCUAGUUGGUAGGGUAACGGCUUACCAAGGCAACGAUGCAUAGCCGACCUGAGAGGGUGAUCGGCCACACUGGAACUGAGACACGGUCCAGACUCCUACGGGAGGCAGCAGUAGGGAAUCUUCCGCAAUGGGCGAAAGCCUGACGGAGCAACGCCGCGUGAGUGAUGAAGGUCUUCGGAUCGUAAAACUCUGUUAUUAGGGAAGAACAUAUGUGUAAGUAACUGUGCACAUCUUGACGGUACCUAAUCAGAAAGCCACGGCUAACUACGUG